UGCUGCUCUGCUCACUGACCAUGUUAGAUGGUGCAAGAUUCAAGCUUCUCAGUACACAACCACAAAUCACUCUUUGAGGCUAUAUACUUUGUCACCAGAAUCAUGGAUUCUCCUCCUGAGGUGUUGACUCUGUAGAAAAACUCCCAUGAACAAUUCAUCUGAGAAGUUCCCUAAAGGCCACCAUGCAUUCUACUAACUUGGAAAGGGAGGGAUAUAUGCAUGUAUUUAUAAACACUCUCUUUCUCUUUUUUUCUGAACUGUGAACUUUGAUUAUAUUUAUUGUAAAACUGUGUAUUUACCUUUGUGAAAACUUUCAAUAAAGUAUUUUUUUCAA